GACGAACGCUGGCGGCAGGCUUAACACAUGCAAGUCGAACGCACCGCAAGGUGAGUGGCAGACGGGUGAGUAACACGUGGGGAUCUGCCCAAUGGUACGGAAUAGCUCCGGGAAACUGGAAUUAAUACCGUAUGAGCCCGCAAGGGGAAAGAUUUAUCGCCAUUGGAUGAACCCGCGUCGGAUUAGCUAGUUGGUGUGGUAAAGGCGCACCAAGGCGACGAUCCGUAGCUGGUCUGAGAGGAUGAUCAGCCACACUGGGACUGAGACACGGCCCAGACUCCUACGGGAGGCAGCAGUGGGGAAUAUUGGACAAUGGGCGCAAGCCUGAUCCAGCCAUGCCGCGUGAGUGAUGAAGGCCUUAGGGUUGUAAAGCUCUUUCGCCGACGAAGAUAAUGACGGUACCCAGAGAAGAAGCCCCGGCUAACUUCGUGCCAGCCGCCGCCGUAA
rnacentral:rRNA from 1 species